rnacentral:rRNA from 1 species
CACUAGUGACUAGAGUUUGAUCCUGGCUCAGAUUGAACGCUGGCGGAAUGCUUUACACAUGCAAGUCGAACGGCAGCACGGACUUCGGUCUGGUGGCGAGUGGCGAACGGGUGAGUAACAUAUCGGAACGUAUCCAAUAAUGGGGGAUAACUAAUCGAAAGGUUGGCUAAUACCGCAUACGCCCUACGGGGGAAAGCUAGGGACCUUCGGGCCUGGCGUUAAUGGAGCGGCCGAUAUCUGAUUAGCUAGUUGGUGGGGUAAAAGCCCACCAAGGCGACGAUCAGUAGCUGGUCUGAGAGGACGACCAGCCACACUGGAACUGAGACACGGUCCAGACUCCUACGGGAGGCAGCAGUGGGGAAUUUUGGACAAUGGGCGCAAGCCUGAUCCAGCCAUUCCGCGUGAGUGAAGAAGGCCUUCGGGUUGUAAAGCUCUUUCGCAAGGGAAGAAAACUUAGCCACUAACAUUGGCUGAGGGGACGGUACCUGAUAAGAAGCACCGGCU